GUAGGAGAAAUAGCUGGGAAAUGCGCUAAACAAGUAGUACCCGAUCUGGAUCUAGAAGAUGGACAAAGUAGAAGAGAUUACUUCUGCGAAGAAGCUGAGGAUGAAGUAAGAAAGAGUUACAAAAGUUGCUUCCGUGAAAAACUGUCGGAAUUGGAUAAUAUCGAAGAAUUAAGAGACGUCUUCCGAGAGUGCAUAAAA